AGCGAACGUUAGCGGCGCGCCUAACACAUGCAAGUCGCACGAGAAAGGGAGCAAUCCCCGGUACAGUGGCGCACGGGUGAGUAACACGUAGAUGACCUUCCCUGGAGUGGUGGAUAACCUGCCGAAAGGCGGGCUAAUACAGCAUGGGACCACAUGGUUUUGACCGAGUGGUGAAAGCGGGCCUCUGUUCACAAGCUCGCGCUCUGGGAUGGGUCUGCGUCCCAUCAGCUAGUUGGUGAGGUAAUGGCUCACCAAGGCAUCGACGGGUAGCUGGUCUGAGAGGAUGACCAGCCACACUGGAACUGAGACACGGUCCAGACUCCUACGGGAGGCAGCAGUGGGGAAUUUUGGACAAUGGGCGCAAGCCUGAUCCAGCAAUGCCGCGUGCAGGAUGAAGGCC
rnacentral:rRNA from 1 species